AUACUUACCUAGCAGGGGAGACACCAUGAUCAUGAAGGUGGUUUUCUCAGGGUGAGGCUUAGUCAUUGCACUCCAGGUGUGCUGACCCCUGUGAUUUCCCCAAAUGCGGGAAACAUGACUGCAUAAUUUAUGGUAGUGGGGGACUGCGUUUGUGCUUUCCCCUG
rnacentral:snRNA from 1 species